GAUGAACGCUGGCGGCGUGCCUAAUACAUGCAAGUCGAGCGAAUGGAUUAAGAGCUUGCUCUUAUGAAGUUAGCGGCGGACGGGUGAGUAACACGUGGGUAACCUGCCCAUAAGACUGGGAUAGCCUCGGGAAACCGGGAUUAAAACCUCAUAAUGCCGUGAAGAGACAUCUCUAUAUGGCCAAAGAUUUAUCGGCAAAGGAUGGGCCUGCGUCUGAUUAGCUAGUUGGUGGGGUAACGGCCUACCAAGGCAACGAUCAGUAGCCGACCUGAGAGGGUGAUCGGCCACAUUGGAACUGAGACACGGUCCAAACUCCUACGGGAGGCAGCAGUGGGGAAUAUUGCACAAUGGGGGAAACCCUGAUGCAGCAACGCCACGUGAAGGAAGAAGGCCUUUGGGUCGUAAACUUCUGUUCUAAGGGAAGAUAAUGACGGUACCUUAGGAGCAAGUCCCGGCUAACUACGUGCCAGCCGCCACGGUAA
rnacentral:rRNA from 1 species